UGGGGAAUAUUGCACAAUGGGGAAACCGUAGCAUGCAGCGACGCCGCGUGAGGGAAGAAGGUUUUCGGAUUGUAAACCUCUGUCCUUGGUGACGAAAAUGACGGUAGCCAAGGAGGAAGCCACGGCUAACUACGUGCCAGCAGCCGCGGUAAUACGUAGGUGGCAAGCGUUGUCCGGAAUUACUGGGUGUAAAGGGAGCGUAGGCGGGAAGAUAAGUUGGACGUCUAAUCUAUCGGCUCAACCGAUAGUCGCGUUCAAAACUGUUUUUCUUGAGUGAAGUAGAGGUAAGCGGAAUUCCUAGUGUAGCGGUGAAAUGCGUAAAUAUUAGGAGGAACACCAGUGGCGAAGGCGGCUUACUGGGCUUUAACUGACGCUGAGGCUCGAAAGCGUGGGUAGCAAACAGGAUUAGAUACCC
rnacentral:rRNA from 1 species